GGCUUGAAUCCACAAACUCCGAGAUCGUGACCUGAGCUGAAGUCGGACACUUAACCUACUGAGCCACCCAGGCACCCCAGAUCUUGUUUUUUAAACCCAGGUUGAGAGUCUGUCUUUGAUUAGUAAAUUUAACUGGCAUACAUUUAGGGUAAUUGUGAUUAUAUUAGCACUUCUGGAGUAUUAUUUUAUGUUUUCUUUUUACCAUUAUUUUCGGGAGGGUAUCUUUCCUUGCAAUGUUUGAUUGGGUUGAUUUUUUUUUUUUCCCCCUCUGCUGGAUUUUAUAAUUAUGCCAUCUAUUUUCUUUUCCUGAAAUUCAGAAUCCAGAUUAUUCCUGAAAUGAUUAAGACCCACUCCUGUAUUUAUUUUUUCCUCUCCGUUUCUAAAGUCAGUAUCUCUGUCCUAUUAACACCAGCCCGUCUCCUCUCUGCUCGUUUUGGCUGCAUCCGUUUCAGUUCGGAUCCAUGAACUCUGCUUCAUCUGUGCAGGUUGCUGGGCUGGUUGAUUUCUUUUGUCUAGUGUUUCCUCUCCUUCAGAUUGUUUUUCCUUGUGACCCCUGAUCCCCUCGGCCUGGGCCCCAGGGUAUUAGCUGAUCCCUUGCCCCUGAGGGGGGAGAGUUAGGCCACAGCUUGUCAGUCACUGAGUUUGGUGGGUAGAGGGCUUGAAGGGGUGCACUGAGGCCCCUUAGGCAACCUCGGGGUCUUCUCUCCAGCCACACCUGUUUUCCUGGGGCUCCCUGCCUCUGAUGUCCUGGGCCGCAGAUCCCCCUGGGCAUGGGCCACCCUCAGGGAUUCUGAUUCUGCUAGUUUGGGGUGGGUAUUGGUACCUUUUAAAAGUUUCUCAUGAUAGGAAUAGGGUACAGUAUGGACUGAUUAUGAAUUGACAGCGGUUGAAUAUCCAACUAAAAUUCAUGCACAGCUAAAAUUCUGAUCACUUCCCAGCUAACACCCAGGAAUUCUGGGGGACGGCAUGGAGGAGGCCAGCUAGCUAGACCUGGGGCUAACUGCGAGAACAGUUAAAAUGGGUCUAUUAUGUUUCUGCUGGACAGCGCUGUUCUAACGUAGACCCUCGCUACUCAAAGAGGUCCACAAACCCGUUUGGGCAUCCCCUGGGAGCUUGUUAGAAGUGCAGAAUGUCAGGCCCCAGCCAGACCUCCUGAGUCAGAAUCUGCAUUUUUAUGAGAUUCCCCAGGUGAUUCAUAGACACAUUAGAAUUUGAGAAGCACUGGGCUAGAUCCUUAAAAGGGAGGGUUGGUUUCAUUUAAUUCAUAUUUUAAGAGAAUGACGCUUCCCUUAUCUGCUCCGAUGAGCUUUCCAGAACACAGGUAGCAGUCAGGGGGCUGAGCUGCCAGGGGAUGGCUCUCCAAGGGCGCCUCUCUUGCCCCCUCCCAAGCCUCGCUUCCACCCAGCUCCUCUUGUACACACGCUUCUAAUAGUAUCGAUCAUCUGCUUCUCAAGGUCCUAACACGUUAAAACAACAAAUCGGAAGAAGGCAAGGGACGUCCUCGAGGUAGGACUGGCUGUCCACUUGGGAGCAGAAGACCAGAAAGACAAAAGAAUUGCAGGCCCCGGGCUGUGUCGUGCGGGGGCAGUUUCUGCAUGCAGACUGUUGAGGAAUGUACGGAUGCGGGACGGAUUUCGGCACUGACCUUCAUUAUGCUUAGCCCGAGCCACUAAGUGAUUAAGUUAGGUUCUGUUUAGACCCCUGUGCCGACCAUCCCUGUGGAGGAGGCGUAUUUUCUCCUGCGCUGUAGCAAAUGUCGGGGCCGAGACCGAAGACACUCACUUGGAAGUUGAACUUUGGGGCGCCUUUCUUCCGCUCGUUGUGCCGGGCCCACGAUGUACCGUCAUCUGGAAAUGGUGGCUCUCGGUGUGAGAACGUGGGGUUUUCUGGGUGGCCUGCCUUCGGAUGCGCCCAGAAGCCGUCAGCUGCCUGCCCUGCCGGCCGAGGGCACGCUGGCCUGGGCGGCCGACCCUUCUGACUUGGAACCUUUGCUCUUCCAUUUAUGAGGCAUGUGACCUUGGGCCCUUAACCUGCUUCCUCUGUACAAGGGUGAUAGUAAAACUACUCUCACUUCGUAAGGGUUUUGUUAAGACUCCGCUUAGGACGGUGCCUGAUCCACGAUCCUUGGUUGGUUUAGCCUGAAAAAGUCAAGGAAGGUAUUACGGGGGAGGCAGCUCGCCAGAAGAGACCGCCUUCUCUGAAAAGAGUAAUAGUGGUAGUAACCCAGACCGAGAUGUCCCGUCGUCAGGGCGGCAGGGAUGCCUGGGCCGUCUGGCUCACCGGGUACGUACUGAUGUUGUGGCGUUGGUAUUUUUCUUUUACGCUUUUUUCCCCAAAGACUGUUCUGCCUUAGAAGAUUAAAAAUAUCUGCUUCCACAUUAGACCCAAUUCAGUUUGAAUAAUUGCAUUUUUAAGGCAAAAGCCUGCUCCUGGGCGUGAGUAGCUUGCACGUCAGACGUUCAGCGGGCAAAUGAAAAACGUGAGUCAUGCAGUGCUUGGCACCUUGGGCUUUUAAUAUUUGGUGGCGAACUUCCUACGGAGAGGAGGACUUUGAAAGUGGAAGUCCUUUCAGAUCCAGAUGGCCAAAGGAUUCUCCGGUGUCGGUUGGGACUAGUGAUUGAAUUUUCUCCUCCUGUUUCCUUGGCCUGCUGGGCCUCUCCGGGGGCCCAGUUUUGUUCAAAAGGGACCGUGUCGGUACAGCGAGGCUGUGUGCCUGGGGAAUGUGCCUACCUCGAAGGAUGAGAACAAUCCAUCCUAGCAGCCUCUCGAAUGCACAGCAGAUAGAAAAGAGAGUGCGUGUAGAGCAACGCGCAAGGCAUCUUUUGGGUUUUUUUUUUUUGUCUCCGGUGGUUGCUGACAGCGACCAGCAGGACCCAGCAGCUUGCCAUGUGACUUACGUGUCAGGCUCUGAGUUUUGUUUUCUUGGCCAGGAUCUGGAAGGCUGUUUCCAAGUAGGUGUUUCUUCCUUGGCGGCAGAUCUGGGCUGUUAUGUAGUCAGCCCUGUCCUUUUCUGAAGGGGAGCCGCCGUGGGGGGAUGGGAGAGGGGCAGAGUGGCUAAUAUUAGCGUUCCCUCCCUCCUGGAUCAUGUAAUCUCUAACGGACUGGCACUGUUGCCUGGAUUUUGAAUGUAGGCAGUUCCUAUAAAGCGCACUUGGGUCUGACUUUUAGGUAUGUAAGAGGAAGACAAAAUUUGGAGGAAAUGGUGAAAUCGUUUUACAGAACAUGCAGCAGCCCCUAGGGAUUUCAGGAGCAAAGUCAGAAAGUUUACUGGGGAGAAAUCUUGGAUGAUAAGGAAAAGGAAUUCCGUGCCUGGUAGGGGCUCGAGGCUCCCCUGAGACAUAGGUGCUCCCGGGUGCCCGGCUGGGCCCGGGGCUACAGGAAAGGCCUCCUGGGCUUUCGGUCCCAGCCGCUCCCGGCAGCCUCUGGGGAAGUGGGAGGCUGGGAGCCCCCUCCACCUGACAUUUCCAGCCCAGGUUGGAGCAGAGCUCCUAGGUUCUGCCUUGAGAAAAUGGUCAGGGUGUUGGGGGGGGGGGGUGGUGCCUGGGCGGCUCAGUCCGUGAAGCGUCCGACUCUUGGUUUCAGCUCAGGUCAUGCUCUCACGGUUCCUGAGUUCGAGCCCCACAUCGGGCUUCGUGCUCACGGUGCGGAGCCAACUUGGGAUUCUCUCCCUCCCUGUCUCUCUGCCCCUCCCUUGCUCACUCUGUCUCUCUCUCUCAAAAUAGAUAAACACUUAAAAAUUUUUUAAGAAAAUGGUCAGGGAGGGCACCUGACUGGCUCAGUUGGAGGAGUGUGCAACCCGUGAUCUUUUGGGUUGUGAGUUUGAGCCCCACACUGGCAUAGACUUUACCUAAAAAUAAGUAAAAUAAAAAAAAAAAAACAAAAACAAAAAAAAGGAAAGGGUAAGGGAUGAGAAGCUUGGGAGGAAAAACAGUUGUGAAGGCAGAAUAAACACUCUUCCAUGUGAUCCUUAUGGUUAUCACGGUGUGGAGUGUUGAAGGAACCAGAAAAAGAAAAAAAAAGAAGGUUGUCCGUCCUUUUGAAUGUAUUUCAUUUUAAAAUAAAAACGGCCUAACGGUAGUCAUUGUUUUUGCAGGUUUUCUUUCUUUCAAAGCACUUUAUUUUCAGUUUUUACCCCGAUUCUAUCAGUAUGAGAAAAGGACCAGCCCCGGCCCCCUGCCCACCUCUCCCCACGGUCAGCACCUGCACCCUGGAACUGUUCUCUGUCUACGCAGCUGGCUUCUGCACCUGGUCCCCAGGUUUUAGCGUGGGCAUUGCUUGCUGGUGGGGUGCCGUGGGACUGGGACCGGCAGGUGCGGUGGAGGCCUCACCAUGGGGCCCCUGCAGAGUGGCCCUGUUUCUCUGCUCAACUGAUUUUCAAGUAUUGGGCAUUUGGAUAGCUACGACUAUGGAAAUAGGAGUUUCUGUGUACAAGGUCUAAUUUACCCCCAAACUCUUUUCCAGCAACACGUAUCUCUUAAAACAUCAGGUAGGUAGGGGUUCAUCUUUUCUUUGGGAGCCCCCUCCUGGUCCCUUGUCCUUCUCCUGCUGGGACGGGCUGCUGCCUGGCACAGGGCCCCCCACUUUCCUCCUGGUCCCCUUCCCCAUCAUCUUGGGCCACCCUUUCCCCCUCCUGCUUUGGAUCCCUGUCUCCUGAAUUCUGCGAUUUUGUCUUUCUCUCAUUUGGGGAAUCUCCUCCAGUAGCUUCCUGAUAAAGAUGGUUGCCGAGCAUAGAAUUCUAGAAUUCCACCCUCGCAAGUCAAAGACGUGGCUCCCCUGGUCAAGGACAGUCUCGUUUCCCAUCCUUUGCCGUUUCUCUGUGACACCGUUUAGAGCCCUGAUCUUCGCCUCCUGUUCUCCGGGAUCGUGACGGUUCUCCUCGGGGAGUCAAAAUGCAUGGCUUUCAUCCACUUUCAACACAUAAAAGAUGUUUUCAACACAGAAAGGCCUUUCACCGCUCUUAAUAGUCAGCUUUUGGAAAGAUGUGGACUAGAAUGAAAAAUGAGGAUGAACACCUCUGAAAUCAGCUGUUUUGAAUUAAAUAAAGCAGAGUGAGGUUGGAGUCAGGUGAAGCGAGAAGAUGGCAGUUAGCCAGUGAGGAUUAAUACGCCGGCUCCUUUAAGCCGAGGGACCGUCUUCUCUGAAAUGUGUGAGGGGUGGACAGGGCUUGUCUGCCCCUCUGCCCCCGACUUCUGCCCCAACAGGGCUGUCGCCCCCUUACCUCGACUUGGCUCAGGAUGACUUCAUCCUUCCCAUGGCUUUGCAUAAUUGCAAGGAGGUGUUCUGGGGGGUUUUUUGCGGGGAUUUUUUCCCCCCUUAGCUGUAGUUCCGGGUGCUUUUCGGAGACCCGCUUCACCGGGCUGGCUUAGCAAGCGAGGAUUCCGGGUCCGGGAGCGAGUUGUCUGAAUGUCCGGGCCGGGUGAGCACCUGGAGGCCCUCUCGGCUCCGUGGGCGUCUGCAGGUGUUUUGGGUGGGUCGAGUGCCCCUGUCCCCUUUCUCCACGCGGAGCAUGGUGGCCUGGAUGUCGCGUAUCCAGCGGGGCCCCUAGCCAGCUUUGCACGGAGACUAUGGGAACGGGACUAAAGUCACGAAAUGUCCUUGCAGGACCUGUUGACCUGACCUCUGUCUCGGUGGAGCAGUGGGGGUCCCUAGUCUGACCCCGAAGGUGGCAGAGGCGACCUUCCCUUGCUCGAGGCCAGCUGUUAAUGAACUUCAACACAGAAGGGAGUUCUCUUCUCCAUUCUGGGUGGGGACUAGUAAAAUGCCUUUGGCCAGCUGGUAGAACUAAGUCCCGGGAAAUUCUGGAACCUCCAGCUCAGUCGACUUGGAGUGAACCGUGUGGACAGCAGUGAAUUUGCCCCCCUACGUGUUUUCUCCAGUCAGGCUCGUCCCUCGUGGUGGGCACCUGGUGCUGGUGGUUUUUACAGGAGCCGAGUGCCCCCUUCCUUGGAGCCAGCCUUUGCCUGGGCGUGGUCUUGUCGGCCACUCAGGGCCAUUCCGGAUAGUGCAGCCCUUCAGGGGUCAGGUCAGGCAUCUGUGGCCCCAGGCCAGCAUUUUAACCGAAUGCCCGGAGUGCACAGCUCCGGCCCUCCACUCAGUGCAGUGCUGGGCCCAGAACAGACUAUUUUGAACACUGGACACUGUGUUUCAGUUGUUACACCCAGGAGCGGGACUCAUUACCAGGGAGCUUGAAUUUAAGAAAAAAAAAAUGCCGUUAUCUAGAUUCCUCAAGGUUACGACAAAGCUGAAGCAGCUUGUUACCAAGCAAAUGGACAGAAGUGUCGCCAGAAGCGUUUCAUUUUCUGUUUUUGGGGUAGUGGUGGCAGGGGUUCCAUCUCAGAGGCUGACUUGGGUUUGCUUCAGUUGGUUUUACUUCCUUCAGGACGCAGGUCUGGUGUUCCUUCCCGCAUAAGAGAGCACCUCCUCCCGGCCCCUCCCUGGACUUUUUCUUCUUCAUUGACUUAUCAGUCACGUGAGCCACUAUUUAUAAAGUCUGUCCCCUCCCUCCCCCACUCCCCCCACCAUGUGAACCGUGGCUGCUUAAUGAAGGUACACCUUGGCCCCUAGUAUGGGAAUGGCUUUUUAAUCCCAAGAAGGUCUUGCUAUUUAUUCCUGGAUCGUGGAAACCAGUACACUGCUCCUUUUUUUUUUUUUUUUUUUCUUUCUCCCCUUGAAGAAAUCCAGUAACCCUAGGCUUUCUAGAUCCAAAGUGGGUCAGAUGGCUAAUGAUUGAAGAUGGAUUGGCGUCCAGUGUCUUUGGAAACCUAAAGCUGGACUCGGGCUGCAUUCGUGUUUCUCUUCCUCUCGUCAAAGCGCCUCCAAUGGCAGCUGACUUUGCAGUCACUGUGCACUGGGGGUAAGCCAAGCCCCAGCCGCUGGAGUCCGGGUGGCCCUGCCUCCACCUGAGCUGGGAGGGAGGCGGGUCUAUGAUUAACUCGGUGAUGUCUUCAAUGUGAUUGCUGGGGGCUGAAAACAUUAACUUUUACAAAAUGAUUUAAAAUUACCAAUUGACCAUAUCCGGGGCUGAACCUGCAUGAUUCAGCUCCUUUUAAAAAUAUCUUUUCUCAACAAAUUGCUUCCUUAACAUUUUAAUUUGUUGAUCAUAAAGGAAGCUUGCCAAAUAUUAGCUGGUCUUUUCCAUUUCCUGCAGCUCCGAGCUUCCCUUAUUUGGCAUAUUUCAGUGGAACUGUAAGGUCACUCCCUAGUUCUCUUCCCAAAGAACUGUAUUUAUUACUGUCAAGUAUUGGCGGGUUUGAUCCAGCUGUCAUCAGAAUGUUUGGAAAUAUUGUUUUUUGCCAGAAUGCUGAUUUAAUGAUCUAAUACUGACAUGGCUUGUUUUCUCCGCUGAUUUGAUAACUUACUUGUUCAAUAAACUCCCCUCUUAGUGA